ensembl:lncRNA
GAUUAAGGCUAGUUUGAUACUGAAUCUGAAAUGAUGAUAUUACUAUGAUUUAUUUACAGAAAAAAAUAUGGAGAGGCUCUCUGAUAUUUUGAUGUCUUAUCCUUCUGCUGAGCCUCAGAAAAGCCCUGCAUCAUGGUCUUUUCGGCAGCAGAAAGCCUCAGAGCGCUGGAAAGAAGCAAGACCAUACCACCUAAAAAAAGGCCGUUGGUCAGCCACUGUGUUGGCUUUGUCAUGAGCCUGCUGUUAUUAGGUGCAGAGAGUGUCUUCCUGAGGAAUGCUUCUGUAGGGACUGUGAUGUAUUGCACCAGAAAAAACAGCUACUCCACAACAGGGAAUGUGUGAUUCGUGAGUUUUUUGAAACCAUUCCUCCAACCUCAUGUGUCCUUAAAGGGCAAGAUGGAUAUUGCAUCCGUGAGCACGUGAAGGCGCGAGACUGCUCCUGUGAAGACACAAACUGCACCAUAUUCCCGGGCAAACCAGUGAUUUUAAUUACCAUCAAUGGGUGUUUUGAUUUGCAUCAGCCACUAUAUGUAUGUCAAACGUGCCAGCAUCUGUGGACCCCUGACUUGAAGGACCUCCUUAGGAGAGGAUAUUGGCCUGCCUCUGACACCAGUUCCACACUUUCUACACUGGACCUCCUGAGCUCCUGUCAGGAACUCAAGGUCAUCUCUCGGGGAUUCUCCAGACAAGCCUUCGCAAAGCUGCUGGAGUAUCGCACUAAGACUGGAGGAAGAGUAAGUGUAAUUGUUAUUACCAUAUUAUAA